GGAAAUAAAAAAAGAAGAGAAAAAAAGGAAGAAGAAGAAGAAGAAGAAGAAGAAGAAGAAGAAGCUUCCUGAAAAUCCUGGAUGUCGAGCUACCGGAGUGUGACCACGUCGAAGCAGGUGCAACAGCUGUCAAUGGGUAAACUCAACCUGUUCAGCUAUUUUGCACGUGGUGACUACGGAAGAUCAACGGUGGCCCCCUUGUAAUCGAUUUCUUUUUUGAUAUGGGCGUUGUAUACGGGCCAGAAAAUACACAAGAAAUUCUCAACUCGACGUGAACAAGAUUCCCAUCCAAAUAGAAAAGUACAUGAGGACAUAUUAGAUGGUCUAUCGCGAUAAUUCCAUCCCAAGAAGAAAAAGAAAAAGAAGAUGAAGAAGAAGAUGAAAAAGAAGAAGAAGAAGAAAAAGAAGAAGAAGAAGAAGAAGAGAGUAUUGCGAUCGAGGAACGAACUGAUAGAUCCAUAAAUCGAUGUAACGCACACACGUUGCGAAAUAUUUCCCCAUAAUGAAUGUUCGAUGCUCGGGCGACCUACUACAUAAUUGAUAGGGAAUCGAACGCGCUCCGUUCCUCUUGCGCUCUUCUUAAAUUGAAACGAAUUAAAAAGGCGCGUCACGAGUAACCAUCGUUAGAAUGGCGGCCCUCGUGGGGUUUCGUGGCUCACGGUUUGUAACAAUUUGCCAAUUUAUCACGAAGAAAAGUACGAUCCUUCUCGUUGCCUUCCUUCGGGAUUUUCUUUUUCUUUCGUUUGUCCUUUUUUUUUCCUUUCUUUAUUUUUUCUUUU